CCUACGGGUGGCAGCAGUGGGGAAUAUUGCACAAUGGGGGAAACCCUGAUCCAGCGACGCCGCGUGAGCGAUGAAGGAUUUCGGUAUGGUAAGCCCUAUCAGCAGGGAAGAAAAUGCCGGUACCUGACUAAGAAGCCCCGGCUAACUACGUGCCAGCAGCCGCGGGUAUACGUAGGGGGCAAGCGUUAUCCGGAUUUACUGGGUGUAAAGGGAGCGUAGGCGGUGCAGCAAGUCAGAAGUGAAAGCCUGGGGCUCAACUCCGGGACUGCUUUUGAAACUGGUGCACUAGAUUGAAGGAGAGGUAAGUGGAAGUCCUAGUGUAGCGGUGAAAUGCGUAGAUAUUAGGAGGAACACCAGUGGCGAAGGCGGCUUACUGGACUGUAAAUGACGCUGAGGCUCGAAAGCGUGGGGAGCAAACAGGAUUAGAUACCCGAGUAGUC
rnacentral:rRNA from 1 species